rnacentral:rRNA from 1 species
UACGAAGGGAGCUAGCGUUGUUCGGAAUCACUGGGCGUAAAGGGUGCGUAGGCGGGUCUUUAAGUCAGGGGUGAAAUCCUGGAGCUCAACUCCAGAACUGCCUUUGAUACUGAAGAUCUUGAGUUCGGGAGAGGUGAGUGGAACUGCGAGUGUAGAGGUGAAAUUCGUAGAUAUUCGCAAGAACACCAGUGGCGAAGGCGGCUCACUGGCCCGGAACUGACGCUGAGGUGCGAAAGCGUGGGGAGCAAACAGG